rnacentral:rRNA from 1 species
UACAGAGGGUGCGAGCGUUAAUCGGAAUUACUGGGCGUAAAGCGCACGUAGGCGGCUUGGUAUGUCGGGUGUGAAAUCCCCGGGCUCAACCUGGGAACUGCAUCCGAAACUGCCUUGCUAGAGUAUGGGAGAGGGAAGUGGAAUUUCCGGUGUAGCGGUGAAAUGCGUAGAUAUCGGAAGGAACAUCAGUGGCGAAGGCGACUUCCUGGACCAAUACUGACGCUCAGGUGCGAAAGCGUGGGGAGCAAACAGU